CUAAAGAUCUUUCCCCAUCUGAGGUCUUUCCCCAUUCCAUCUGAGGUCUUUCUCCAUUCCAUCUAAAGGUCUUUCCCCAUCUGAGGUCUUUCCUCAUUCCAUCUGAGGUCUUUCUCCAUUCCAUCUAAAGAUCUUUCCCCAUCUGAGGUCUUUUUCCAUUCCAUCUAAAGGUCUUUCCCCAUCUGAGGUCUUUCCCCAUUCCAUCUGAGGUCUUUCUCCAUUCCAUCUAAAGGUCUUUCCCCAUUCCAUCUGAGGUCUUUCCCCAUUCCAUCUGAGGUCUUUCUGCAUCUGAAUGUUAGGCUAUUUGUUUUCCACUACAUAUUUAGCAUACAAUUCUAGAAAU